rnacentral:rRNA from 1 species
UUAAAUUUAGUGGCGCACGGGUGAGUAACGCGUAGAUAAUCUGCCUGAUGAUCUGGGAUAACACUCCGAAAGAGGUGCUAAUACCGGAUAAGCCCACGGAGUCUUUGGACUCUGCGGGAAAAGGGGGGGACCUUCGGGCCUUCUGUCAUCAGAUGAGUCUGCGUACCAUUAGCUAGUUGGUAGGGUAAUGGCCUACCAAGGCUACGAUGGUUAGCUGGUCUGAGAGGAUGAUCAGCCACACUGGAACCGAGACACGGUCCAGACUCCUACGGGAGGCAGCAGUGGGGAAUUUUGCGCAAUGGGCGAAAGCCUGACGCAGCAACGCCGCGUGAGUGAUGAAGGCUUUCGGGUCGUAAAGCUCUGUCGAGGGGAAAGAAAUGUAUUGUGGCUAAUACCCGCGAUACUUGACGGUACCCCUAAAGGAAGCACCGGCUAACUCCGUGCCAGCAGCCGCGGUAAUACGGGGGGUGCAAGCGUUGUUCGGAAUUGUUGGGCGUAAAGCGCGUGUAGGCGGUCUGAUUAGUCUGAUGUGAAAGCCCUGGGCUCAACCCAGGAAGUGCAUUGGAUACUGUCAGACUUGAAUACGGGAGAGGGUAGUGGAAUUCCUAGUGUAGGAGUGAAAUCCGUAGAUAUUAGGAGGAACACCGGUGGCGAAGGCGGCUACCUGGACCGAUAU